rnacentral:rRNA from 1 species
GACGAACGCUGGCGGCGUGCUUAACACAUGCAAGUCGAACGGAAAGGCCCUUCGGGGUACUCGAGUGGCGAACGGGUGAGUAACACGUGGGUGAUCUGCCCUGCACUUUGGGAUAAGCCUGGGAAACUGGGUCUAAUACCGAAUAGGACCACGCGCUUCAUGGUGUGUGGUGGAAAGCUUUUGCGGUGUGGGAUGGGCCCGCGGCCUAUCAGCUUGUUGGUGGGGUAAUGGCCUACCAAGGCGACGACGGGUAGCCGGCCUGAGAGGGUGACCGGCCACACUGGGACUGAGAUACGGCCCAGACUCCUACGGGAGGCAGCAGUGGGGAAUAUUGCACAAUGGGCGCAAGCCUGAUGCAGCGACGCCGCGUGAGGGAUGACGGCCUUCGGGUUGUAAACCUCUUUCAAUAGGGACGAAGCGCAAGUGACGGUACCUAUAGAAGAAGCACCGGCCAACUGCGUG